UACGUAGGGCGCAAGCGUUUGUCCGGAAUUAUUGGGCGUAAAGAGCUCGUAGGCGGUCUGUCGCGUCGGUUGUGAAAACCCAAGGCUCAACCUUGGGCCUGCAAUCGAUACGGGCAGACUAGAGUACUGCAGGGGAGACUGGAAUUCCUGGUGUAGCGGUGGAAUGCGCAGAUAUCAGGAGGAACACCGGUGGCGAAGGCGGGUCUCUGGGCCGUAACUGACGCUGGAGGAGCGAAAGCGUGGGGAGCGAACAGG
rnacentral:rRNA from 1 species